UACGAAGGGGGCUAGCGUUGCUCGGAAUCACUGGGCGUAAGGCGCACGUAGGCGGCUUUUUAAGUCAGGGGUGAAAUCCUGGAGCUCAACUCCAGAACUGCCUUUGAUACUGAGAAGUUUGAGUCCGGGAGAGGUGAGUGGAACUGCGAGUGUAGAGGUGAAAUUCGUAGAUAUUCGCAAGAACACCAGUGGCGAAGGCGGCUCACUGGCCCGGUACUGACGCUGAGGUGCGAAAGCGUGGGGAGCAAACAGG
rnacentral:rRNA from 1 species